CGGCGGAGCUUCACCUGCGGGCAGCGGGGAAGGGAGAAAGACGCGGAACGCGGGACUGAUACCGCUCCGUCUCUACAGAGGUGACGGAGCUCCGUACCAGCACUGAAGAGAGGAAGCGCCGCGCCUCCAUCUUGAGGAGUGGGCGUAGGGAACGGCCGCGCUCGGGGGCAGCAGGUGGCGCCGCCCCCCGGCAGGGACGGCAGCUCGAAAUGGCGCCCUAAGCGCUCCGAGCUGGCCGCGGCGGAGGGGCGCGGCUGUCGGCAGCAUGUCCUGCUGCGGAUCCUGCUGCAGCGGCGUCUCACGCAGAAUGAUCCCGAGAAGGGGCUUUUAUUUUUGGAGUGUCGAUGCUGCUGCUGGAGAUAAAGAGGAAAGAAGCCUAGGAGGAUUCUUCCAGAAAGAUCACAAGAUACUGAAGCAAGGAGUUUUCAGGCAAAGGUUGCUGAGCCUUCUUUGCCAUGUGACUUCGUGCAUCGGUGCUUGAAAGACAAACUCCGUAUCCCUGCUGGUCUGCCUAAGGCCCUUGAAGAUAGGAACCUGCCUGCUUCGUGUCAUCAUGCUGCAUGGAAGUCUCUGUGCAUGGCUGGUGACUGUUCUGUGUCCAAGGACAAUGUUUUGGGGAUACUGUCACUCUUGGUAGAGAUUUUCCAUUUUGUGCAGUGAACAGGUGCAUGGGGACUGCUGCAGUUGGUAAAGGCAGCCAAGGCCAGCACUUCUCCAUCAUUAGCUGUUCCUAGGUGACAUACUCUGGGGUGAGCACCUGAAUCUACACAUCUUCUUUCUACUCUACUUCUGGUUCUUCCAUUGCCUUUUUUUUUUUUUUUAAGAACAUCAAGCUAAAGACCCCCUGUUGCUCAACUGGCAAAAGCCCAUAUCCUAAAGACAAGUAGGAAGUUUAGUUUCUGACAUAUGAAGACUCUGUAAGAGUACCCAUAUAUUUUUCACCAUAGCUUUUCAUUAAAAUAUUCAGUAUUUCUGUCA